rnacentral:rRNA from 1 species
ACAGCAGCAGCCGCGGUAACACGAAGGGUGCAAGCGUUACUCGGAAUUACUGGGCGUAAAGCGUGCGUAGGUGGUGGUUUAAGUCCGUUGUGAAAGCCCUGGGCUCAACCUGGGAAUUGCAGUGGAUACUGGGUCACUAGAGUGUGGUAGAGGAUAGUGGAAUUUCCGGUGUAGCAGUGAAAUGCGUAGAGAUCGGAAGGAACAUCUGUGGCGAAGGCGACUAUCUGGGCCAACACUGACGCUGAAGCACGAAAGCGUGGGGAGCAAACAGGAUUAGAUACCCGAGUAGUCCCUGUCUCUUAUAC